AACUGUGCCUGAAUGCUGGCCGGAAAGGUACCCUGAGCUGAGCCUGACACCUGCUGCUGGCCUGUCUCAAGGGGACCUGUGAGGGCUGUGUCCUGAUAAAUGCCUACCUUGCAUGGGAGGUCUUGGUACCAGACAAGAAUGCCUUGGUGUCAGCAUGGUGGCUGAGAGAGGGACCCAGAGGGGUCUUGACCACUGUCACUUGAGGAGUUAGAUGAAGAUUGCUCCACUCUCCAGGGCUCCGUUGUGAAGGAAGCUCUGAAUAGCAGCUUGCUGGAGUCCAGCCGCCACUCUGCUGUCUUCCUUAUUCUGUCAGCGGGUCACAAAGCCUGCUUGGAUCAGCCCUGAAUGUGAUGGUUAUUGCACUUCGAACGUACACAUUUGUCUUUUCACAUACAUGUCUUAUGGUGACAUCACUGUCAUGGAUAAUUGCAAAUCAUGGGGGCUGGAGACAUGGUUCAGCAGUUAAGAACACGUGCUGUUUUUUC